GCGAUGAAAUGGAAAUCUCAUCGACGAUGUGCUGUUUCAAGCCCAAGGACGCCUAUAACGGAGGUUGAGAAAGAAUCUAAUGGAAAGCUAUUUGAUUGUUUAGAUGUUAAAUCGAAGUGGAAUCCUAGAGAUGAUGAUCAAAUGAAAGCUGUGAAGGAGGCAUUGCACGUUUCCAAGGCACCAU